CUUAUGUGUAAAUCUAACAAAACAUGCAAGACUUGCAAGCUAAAAACUAUGUAAUGCUGGUGAACGAUAUCAAAGAAGAUCUAUUCAGUCUCUAUCUAUGUGGAGAGAAAUACUGUUCAUGGAUUGGAAGAUUCAAUAUAGUAAAUAUGUCAAUUCUCCCCAAACCAAUAUACAAGUUUAACACAAUUCCAAUCAAAAUCUUUGCAAGAUUUGUUAAUUAUAGGUAGGAUUACUCUAAAAUUUACAUGGAAAGGCAAAGGGACUAGAAUAUCUAAAAUAUUCUUUUUUCAUAUUAUUAUAUUUUAUUGUAGUAUGUGUAGUGUAUACUAACUUAAAGGGAAAAAAUGUAAACAAAAUGAAAGACAUGGGGAAAAUGGCAUCUUGCUUUAAUCUUCAACUUAAAGUUACCCUUAACAAUUCAUUUAUACCAUUAUGCCAAAUUGUAGUCAUCCCUGCAGAAUUUUAGACAAAUGAAAAUGGACAAGGUAACACCAAAGAGAUUAAGCACAGAAAGUGAUAUUGAUUAAAAAGUUGAAAGUAAAAUCUACCUUGGCUGGAACUGAACAUUCAGAUCCAUCUCUAGAGGAAAAUCUAACAUGAAUCAUAUGGUUCCUAUUUUGACUAGUUCAUAGCAUAUCAAUUAGCAACUUAUGACUUGAAAAUACUUUUUCUCAGCUGCAUUUGACUACCUAAAAUCCUACCGAGCACGCUGUUUGGCAUGUCUUACUCCUCUGAAAUCAUCAUCUACUUUCUAAAAACCAGAAAAUUAGUUUGCUUGUGAUUUAAAAUUCAAAAAAGUUUGUAGAAAACACAAAAAGAAUCAACUAUUUAAAGUCUCAUCCUUUUCUUCUCUCUAAAACAGCUACUUCUACUAAAAGAAGAGUAUGUGGAUACUUUCUAAGAACUCAAAAACGAGAAAACCAAAAUCAGAGGGUGCAUGAAUAUAUGUGCACAGGUGAGAGGUCACUAUCCUCCUCUCCACUGCUUUCUUGUUCCUGAACCUGAUACUUUGGCUCCAAGCCUUCAGCAGCAGCUAAGUUCUUAGCCAAGCUAUCUGUUGCCAUAGCUUCAGUGGUUUCUGUAUCACUACAUGCAUCUUCAUCAUCACCCAUCGUACUAUGCUGCUCGUGGACACUCCCACGGGGAUGUUCGGCCGACGCCACCAUAGAGGAAGUCGUAGAGGUGUUGUCCUUCAGGAUCCCCUUGAGGGGCCGUUGCGAGGCCGUGGAGGCCGCCAUUGCCGGGUGCUCCGCCUGUCGGCUCAGGGUCGCUGCUUGGCGUGGGGUCCGCGAACAGAAGGGUCGGCACUAGCAGAGACCAGCAGGCAGACGCGGAGCCCGCUCAAGGCUAAAGCGGCCGCACCUGCUGCCUCGGAAAGGGGUACCGGAGCGGUUGUCAAGACACAAUGACCCCGACGCCAGACUCAAGCGGGGAAAAGCGGGCCUAGAGCUCCAGGGCGGGAGCGACGCCGACGCCUAAAACAUUCUUGAAAAAGAAGAAUAAAGUGAGUUGAAAAUCAGUCUGCCCUAUUUCAAGUAUUGUUUUAUAGCUACAGUAAUCAAGACUGUGUGUUACUAGCAGAGGAAUGGACACACAAAUCAGUGGAACAAAAUAGAGAACGUAGAAAAAGACCCACACAAUCUGCCCAAAUGAUUUUUGAAAGAGGUGCAAAAGGAAGUCAGUGGAAGAAAAAUAGCCUUUUUCACAAAUAGUGAAUUGAACAAUGGUGAAAUGGAACAAUUGGGCAUCCAUAGGCAAGAUAAUAAAAUAAAAAUGAAACUUGACCUAAGUCUCACGCCUUAUGCAAAAUUUAAUUCCAACUGGAUUGGAUUGCUUGAGUCCAGGAGUUCAAGACCAGCCUGGGUAAGAUAGCAAGACCCUGUCUAUACACAAAAAUGAAAAAUAAUGUUGGUGUGGUGGCUCCUGCCUGUAGUCCCAGCUACUUGGGAUGCUGAGGCAGAAGGAUUGCUUGAGCCCAGGAGUUCGAGGCUGUCAUAAGCUGUGACACACCACUGUACUCUAGCCUGGGUGACUGAGCAAGACUCUGUUUCAAAAAAAAAAAAAAAUGUCAGAGAAAUGCAAUACCUUAACCUUUACCAGAUACAAUUAAUUAAAAUAAAUAAACAAAAUGGAUUAUGGAGUAAAUGUAAAGCAUAAAACUCUUAAAUUUUAGAAAAAUAGAAAAUAUUUGAGAUAUAGGUCUAGGCGAAGAAUUCUUAGGCUUGACAUUGAGAGCAUGAUCUAUGAAAGGAAAAACUGAUAAAUUGGAUUUCAUCAAAAUGUAAAACUGUUGCUUUGUGAAGAUCUGGUAAGUGGAUGAAAAAAUGAGCUACACAGUAGGAGAAAAUAUUUGCAAACUAUGCAUUGAACAAAGGACUAGUAUCUAGAGUAUAUAAAGAACUCUCAAAACUCAACAAAGAAAACACAUUAAAAAUCCAAUUAGAAAAUAGGCAAAAGACUUAAGGUAAUAUUUCACUAAGGAGGAUAUAAAAAUGGCAAAUUAGCACAUGAAAAGUUGUUCAACAUCAUUAGCCAUUAGGGAAAUGCAAAUUAAAACCACAAUGAGAUAAUCGCUCCACACCUAUCAGGAUGGCUAAAAUAAAAAUAGUGACAAUGGGCUGGGUGCGGUGGCUCACACCUGUAAUCCCAGCACUUUGUGAGGCCAAGGUGGGCAGAUGACCUGAGGUCGGGAGUUUGAGACCAGCCUGGCCAACAUGAAGAAACCCUGUCUCUACUGAAAAUACAAAAGUAGCCAGGUGUGGUGGCACAUGCUUGUAGUCCCAGCUACUCGGGAGACUGAGGCAGGAGAAUCACUUGAACCCGGGAGACAGAGGUUGCGGUGAGCAGAGAUCGCACCAUUGUACCUAGCCUGGGCAACAAGAGUGAAACUCUUUCUCAAAAAAAAAAAAAAAGGCGACAAUGCUAAAUGCUGGCAAGGAAGAAGAGAUACUGGAUCUCUCAUAAUUUCUGAUGGGAAUAUAAAAUGGUACAGCCACUCUGGAAGAUGAUUUGGCAGUUUCUUAAAAACAAAACAAAACCAACAACAACAACAAAAAUCCAACAACUAAGCAUACUACUACCAUCCUGCCCAGCAACUGUACUCCUGGGUAUUUAGCCCCAAGAAAUGAAAACUUGCAUACACAAAUACACAAGCACAGACAAUGCCUUCACACAAAACCUUGUAUGCAAAUGUUUGUCUAACUGCCUACUCAUUGUAGCCAAAGAUAACCCAGAUAUCCUUUAACAGGUAAAUGGUUAAACCAACUAUUGUACACUUAUACCAUGAAAUAAUACUCAGCAAUAAAAAAGAAUGACUGAUACACACAACAACCUGGAUGAAUCUCCAGAGAGUUAUACUGAGUGAAAAAUGCCAGUCCCAAAAGGUUACAUACUGCAGUGAGCUGUGAUCACGUCACUUCACUCCAGCCUGAGCAACAGAGCAAGACCCCAUCUCUAAAAAUAGAUAAAGAAACAAAAAAGAUGGAUUACAGAGUAAAUGUGAAGUGUAAAACUAUUAAAAUUUUAGAAAAAUAGGAGAAAAUCUUUGAGAUGUAGGGCCAGGCAAAGAAUUCGUAGGCUUGACAUCAAAAGCAUAAUCCAGGCUGGGCGUGGUGGCUCACGCCUGUAAUCCCAGCACUUUGGGAGGCCGAGGCAGGCAGAUCAUUGAGGUCAGGAGUUCGAGACCAGCUGGCCAACAUGGUGAAACCCGUCUCUACUAAAAAUACAAAAAUUAGCUAAGCAAGACGGCACAUGCUUGUAAUCCCAGCUACUCGGGAGGCUGACUCAUGAACAUCACUCGAACCUUGGAGGUGGAGGUUGCAGUGAGCUGAGAUGGUGCCACUGCACUCCAGCCUGGGUGACAGAGUGAGACUCUAUCUCAAAAAAAAUAAAUAAAUAAAUAAAAUAAACUUUAUUGAAAAGAAAAAAAAAGCACAAUCCAUUUGUAUAACAUUUUGUAUUAAGAAGCUUGAAAUGACAAAAGUACAGAAAUAGAGAAAAAAUUCAUAGUUGCCAGUGGUUAAGGAAGUGAUGGGGGUGGGAAGGAGGUGAACCGACCAUAAAAGGGCAAGAUAAGGGAUACUUGGAGUGACAAAAAUACUGUCUUGACUGUAAUAUUGACAUUGACACAAAUGUCAAUAUCCUGAUUGCAAUACUGUACUGAAGUGUUAUAAGAUGUUACCAUCAGGGAAACUGGAUUAAAGGGUAAAAGGUUCUGUCUGUAUUAUUUCUUACAACUGCAUGUCACUCUCUAAUUACCUCAAAAUAAAAAGUUAAAUUUAAAAAACAUGUAUGAGGAUGUGCAUAGUUUUUCAAAAUACAUUUAAGAAGUUCAUGAGUGGAAAGUUUGAGUGAAUAAAAAUUAUAUCUGGAAUUCUGGUUUGCAAAUUAGCCUGGGAAAUGUAGCCUGACUCAGUGUGACUCAGUUCUAUACCACUGUUCUCAGCUCUGCUGUUGCUCACUGCUAACGUUGAAGCCAAAUAUCUCUUGAGUUGCAGGGCAACCAAGAUCCCAUGAUCCAAUGUUGCUCUCACUCACCUUGGCCUUUGAGAGAGAACAGGAAAGAAGAUGGAGAAGAAGGAUUUUCCCUUUGCCCCAUUUUCCUCUUUUUGGGCUGAACUGUGUCCCCCUAUAAGUUCAUAAUGUUGAAUAAACCCAGUACCUCAGAACGUGAAUUUUUUUUGGAGUUAGAGUCUUUAAAAAGAUAAUUAAGUGAAAAUGAGGUUAUGAAAGUAGGUCCUAAUAUAGCUAGUAUCCAUAUAAAAAGAGAUUAGGACAUACAUACACAGGGGGCAGUCCAUAGGAAGAUGCAGGGAAAAGACAACCAUCUGCCAGCCAAGGACAGAGACCUCGGAAGAAACCAACCCUGCUGACACCUUGAUCUCACAUUUCUAGACUCCAGAGCCAGGCGGCAAUAAGUUUAUGUUGUUUAAGCCAUUCAGUCUGUGGUAUUUCUUAUGGUAGCCCUAGCAAACUAAUACAUCCUCCUAUAUUUGGACAUAGGCCUGUCCUUCUUGAUUAAAGGAAUGUAAAAAUAAGACUGUUGUCAAAGUUUUAACAAGACUUUAUGAAGGCUUGGGCAAAAUUGAAAAGGAAAAGACAAUAGAAAAUUCUUCCAUUCUGAUCACAGAUAUUACAGAUGUAAGAGAUCACAGGCUCCAGUCAUCUAAGGGUUCUCCAACUAGAAAUAGACCUGGUAUGGCUGAUGCUACUAAUACCUGCCAUGUUCCUUGGGCCUUACCACUGUAGUGCACACUGGCUGGACAUUUGCAUCAUUCCUGAAGGCUUCCUCAAAGCCAAGAAGGGCCACUCUGCCCGACUCACAGCAGACUAGAAGGGCCGAAGAGUUCACGUGUCAGGCAGCAGCCUUCAACCAAUGGGAAUUGAUGUACAAUUGCCCAACUCCCUCCUUCCGUGGCUGGGUUAACUCUGAGGCAAGUGCUUUCCCAGAAUUUCCCCAGGGGAUUAAGUUCCAGUCAUUCACCCUUCGUUGGCUGUUUUCCCUUCCCAAUCUUUUACUCAGCUGCUACUGAAGUUUCAUGCACCUCCAAAAUAAAUUACUUUCAUUCAUGUCCCUGUGUCAGGGACUGCUUCUGGAAGAAACCAAACGAAUGCACCCCGGGUUAGCUUCUAAUUUGCUUCACAGCAGUAAAGGUCAACUUUUCUUUGCAUUACCCAAGAGAAAACUUAGCCAUUACCUCAUCAUGGUGCUUGGAUCCCUAGAACCCUGUCUCUCAUGAAACCCUGAUUCCUUCCUUUCCUUGUCAAGAUCUUUCCUUACCCAGCAUGGAUGACAGUCCAUUCUAUUGAGUACUAAGAAAAGAGAGUUUAGAAACUGUCAGAAAUAUUUUUAUUUCAUUCAAAUUUGUAAUAUUCCGUAGACCAGAAACAGCACACUCUUUGAUCCCAUCCUUGUAUGCCCAAAAUAUCUGAGUUGGAGGAGGCACUGACCCUCUGUCACACAGUUUAACUGGAUUACAGAGUGCAAGACCCCAAAACCAGUUCCUGACACUCUUUCUGUCUUCAGCCUGUGGAUUCUUAUCACUUCCACAGAAGAAAAUUGGCUCUAAGAUUAUCCGGAGUACUUCCCAAAUCUAUUAUUUAUGGAACAAGUGCUGACUUCAGAUAUCUAGUAAUCUAAGGUUUUUCAUCUCCAAAGACCUUUCUUUCAUUUGGCCUCUACUGGGUUUUCUAUUUUUUUUAUUUAUUUAUUUAUUUAUUGAGACAAGGUCUCACUCUGUCACCCAGGCUGGAGUACAGUGACCUGAACAUGGCUUGCUGUAUCCCUAACCUCCUGUGCCCAAGCAAUCCUCCUGCUUCAGCCUCCUGAGUAGCUGAAACCACAAGUGAGCGCCACCAUGCCCAGCUAAUUUUUUUUUCUUUACUUUUCUUUUUUUUUUUUUUUUUUUUUUUUGUAGAAACUGAGUCUCGUCAUGUUGUCCGGGCUGGUCUUGAACUCCUGGGCUCAAGCAAUCUUCCUGCCUUAGCCUCCUAAAUGGUUAAAGGCAUGUGACCAUCACACCUGGCCUACCAUGGUUUUCAAAUGUAAAAUUUUAAAUGAAAAAUCUUAAUCUUUUGGUCAUUGCUGUUUUGCUGUGGUCUGUCUCCCAUGGCAUGAGGGGAAAUGCGUUAUCUGCCUCUGUUGUAGAAAGAUGCCUGAGGAAAAUAAUCCUCAGUUGAUGUCUCAGGAUUUUUCCUGCCAUAUACCUGGAAUGUGUAAAAGCACAGGAAAUAUCCUAGUAUAACACAAACUACACACAGUUACCUUUGGGACCUAGAAUGGAAUGGGGAGGAGGGAGAAACAAAGGAGACCUUUUACUCCGUACCCUUCUGUAUGGUUUGAACUUGUUGUUUUUUUUUUAUAGACGGAGUCUUGCUCUGUAGCCCAG
rnacentral:lncRNA from 10 species